CAUUCUAAGGCGCUUGAGAGAACUCUGGAGAAGGAACUCGGCAAAUUGACACCGUAACUUCGGAAGAAGGUGUGCCUCUAGUAGGUGAUCCAUUUGCUUGGUGAGCCCAAUAAGGCCGCAGAGAAUCGGUGGCUGCAACUGUUUAUAAAAACACAGCACUCUGCAAAGACGAAAGUCGACGUAUAGGGUGUGACUCCUGCCCGGUGCUGGAAGAUUAAAUGAUGGGGUGCAAGCUCUUGACUGAAGUCCCAGUAAACGGCGGCCGUAACAAUAACGGUCCUAAGGUAGCGAAAUUCCUUGUCGGGUAAGUUCCGACCUGCACGAAUGGAGUAAUGAUGGCCACACUGUCUCCUCCAGAGACUCAGCGAAGUUGAAAUGUUUGUGAUGAUGCAAUCUCCCCGCGGAAAGACGGAAAGACCCCAUGAACCUUUACUGUAGCUUUACAUUGGACUUUGAACAGAUCUGUGUAGGAUAGGUGGGAGGCUUUGAAGCGGUGCCGCUAGGUGUCGUGGAGCCAACGUUGAAAUACCACCCUGGUGUGUUUGAGGUUCUAACCUUGGCCCGUUAUCCGGGUUGGGGACAGUGUAUGGUGGGCAGUUUGACUGGGGCGGUCUCCUCCCAAAGCGUAACGGAGGAGUUCGAAGGUACGCUAGGCACGGUCGGAAAUCGUGCUGAUAGUGCAUUGGCAUAAGCGUGCUUGACUGCGAGACUGACAAGUCGAGCAGGUACGAAAGUAGGACAAAGUGAUCCGGUGGUUCUGUAUGGAAGGGCCAUCGCUCAACGGAUAAAAGGUACUCUGGGGAUAACAGGCUGAUACCGCCCAAGAGUUCAUAUCGACGGCGGUGUUUGGCACCUCGAUGUCGGCUCAUCUCAUCCUGGGGCUGUAGCCGGUCCCAAGGGUAUGGCUGUUCGCCAUUUAAAGAGGUACGUGAGCUGGGUUUAAAACGUCGUGAGACAGUUUGGUCCCUAUCUUCCGUGGGCGCUGCAAGAUUGAGAGAGCCUGCUCCUAGUACGAGAGGACCGGAGUGGACGCACCUCUGGUGUAUCGGUUGUCACGCCAGUGGCAUCGCCGAGUAGCUAUGUGCGGAAGAGAUAACCGCUGAAAGCAUCUAAGCGGGAAACUCGUCUCAAGAUUAGUCUUGCCGGGGCCUUGAGCCCCCUAAAGAGUCGUUCGAGACCAGGACGUUGAUAGGCUGGGUGUGGAAGCUGAGUAAUCAGUUAAGCUAACCAGUACUAAUUGCUCGUGAGGCUUGACCCU
rnacentral:rRNA from 1 species